GCACAUUGUGGCUGGUAACGACCAUAACCCGUCGAUAGUUCAGUGGCGAAUCGUAUCGACUUUUUCUUCUGGCCAUAUUGGUUGUGUAUAGGGCGCCGAAGUGAUCGUUCGCUAUCGUUCAUGGACACACCCUUUGUAAACAGUUCAGGCAUUUGGCCAACCUCCCUGUCUUCCCGUCUACUUCUUCCUCCCCCCCUUCACCUCUUUGGCUUUAGCCCUUUAUAUGGUUGACCACGGGGCGUUUUCCUUCAUUUAAUUGACUUGUUCAAAAUUCUUCAUUGAUUUGUAUCUGUAGAAGACCGCUUGGCUUUGUCCCGAGGUUUGAACUCGGGCCUUUCAUUUAUUGAUCUUAUUUGCACAGUAUUUGUGGUGUCGCAUCGGUAGAAGCCCGCUUGGCUUUGUCCCGAGGUUUGAACUCGGGCCUUUCAAUUAUUGAACUUAUUUGCACAGUAUUCGUAAUAUCGCAUCGGUAGAAGCCCGCUUGGCUUUGUCCCGAGGUUUGAACUCGGGCCUUUCAUUUAUUGAUCUUAUUUGCACAGUAUUCGUCAUAUCGCAUCGGUAGAAGCCCGCUUGGCUUUGUCCGGGGGUUUGAACUCGGGCCUUUCAUUUAUUGAUCUUAUUUGCACAGUAUUCGUCAUAUCGCAUCGGUAGAAGCCCGCUUGGCUUUGUCCCGAGGUUUGAACUCGGGCCUUUCAUUUAUUGAUCUUAUUUGCACAGUAUUCGUCAUAUCGCAUCGGUAGAAGCCCGCUUGGCUUUGUCCCGAGGUUAGAACUCGGGCCUUUCAUUUAUUGAUCUUAUUUGCACAGUAUUUGUGGUGUCGCAUCGGUAGAAGCCCGCUUGGCUUUGUCCCGAGGUUUGAACUCGGGCCUUUCAAUUAUUGAACUUAUUUGCACAGUAUUCGUAAUAUCGCAUCGGUAGAAGCCCGCUUGGCUUUGUCCCGAGGUUUGAACUCGGGCCUUUCAUUUAUUGAUCUUAUUUGCACAGUAUUCGUCAUAUCGCAUCGGUAGAAGCCCGCUUGGCUUUGUCCGGGGGUUUGAACUCGGGCCUUUCAUUUAUUGAUCUUAUUUGCACAGUAUUCGUCAUAUCGCAUCGGUAGAAGCCCGCUUGGCUUUGUCCCGAGGUUUGAACUCGGGCCUCUUAAUUAUUGAUCUUAUUUGCACAGUAUUCGUCAUAUCGCAUCGGUAGAAGCCCGCUUGGCUUUGUCCCGAGGUUUGAACUCGGGCCUUUCAUUUAUUGAUCUUAUUUGCACAGUAUUCGUCGUGUCGCACUGGUAGAAGCCUGUUUGGCUUUGUCCCGACGUUUGAUUUUGUGGCUGUUAUUUCGACCAUUGCACCUAUAUUUUGUAAAGCGUCAUUGUGUUUUUAGCAUUCGAAGCACAUGUUUGGCUUUGGCUUCAGAGUGUGGUGCAGUGCGGUUGUUUCGUGGUUUCAGCGAAAUUGUUAUAAAAGCUUUCUUUCACAAACAAGGCUUUCAUACAAGUUCUCGGUCCUCUGACAUUUUUGACUGCGUCCGCCAAAAUGUUUUAAGUGACAGGUCAUGAUGGCUCUGCUUGUGAAGCUCCCACAUUUUUGUGUUCGCCAUCACGGCGGUUUGGUUUCCGGAGUGAUCACCACUUUGACAUCUUCCCUUGGAAUCUGUUAGAGCACUUCCUUACUUGGCUUUGACCGGUGGCCUGAUCUCGGAUUGAUUGCUUCACACAUUGAGUGGAUUUGUUGUAUAAUGACGCUGGUAUGGGAAAGGUUGAAGUGCUCGUUUGGUGUUGUCUGUUAAUCUCCGACAUAUUUCUUUCAUGUAUACUUUCUUGUAGGGCGCGAGAGUUUGAUACAUCGCCUCUGUUUUUUUGCAUGUCGCUCAUCACAAAUUAGAACCUCAACACGCCGCUGCAAUAGUGCACAGUGUGAAUAAGUGGGAAAGGGGUGGGUGUUUACCCUAACCAUCAAACACUCUGGUCAACCCAAAGGCUGUUUUGAGACCUGCAAUAAAGCUGGUUCGUGGUGCUAGCCCACCAUGCUCGUAAUUUAUCCAUUAUGAAUCAUUUCGCUUCGAUGAAUGCAAGCAUCCGCUUUGAAGUGCCGUGCUUCUCAAUCUGUGUACUCCCUCCGCUGUUUGUACAGGUAAACACGCGCACUAAAACAUCCAAGGUCGUUGGACCAUGGAACCUUACAGAAAUUGUUGCUAUCAUAGACUCCACACACAGUAGGGCAUCGGAUCAGCAUACUGCUUUGUCGAAGUGGGCCACAUGGAUCUUUGUCCUGUGUAACUCUUAUGUUUGUACAUCGGACUGUUUCUCCGCUGUGGCUGUUUGUCCAUCACCUCAAGGACUCAGUGGUUAAGUUCAGCAAUUUAACGACGUUUAAUUAUUCGCGUGAUUUUAGGCCUGUUUACAGCUAUAUUACAUCCUAUCAUUGUAACCAUCGGUAACUGCUAACACCACAGACAUUGUGCUCUUUGGCCACGCAUGGCCCUCGCGCCACAAUCAU